rnacentral:tRNA from 1 species
GUUGAUUUGGCUCAGUGGUUAGAGUGUCGGCCCUUGGACUGAGGGUUGUGGGUUCGAUUCCGGUAACCAAUC